rnacentral:rRNA from 1 species
ACCCAAUAGAUACCCAGGUAGUCCACGCCGUAAACGAUGAGUGCUAGACGUCGGGAAGCUUGCUUUUCGGUGUCGACGCUAAACGCAUUAAGCACUCCGCCUGGGGAGUACGGCCGCAAGGUUAAAACUCAAAGGAAUUGACGGGGGCCCCACAAGCGGUGGAGCAUGUGGUUUAAUUCGAAAGCAACGCGAAGAACCUUACCAGCCCUUGACAUGGAACGUAUGGGCCCGAGAGAUCGGGUCCUCGGUUAAGUCCGGCGUUCGACACAGGUGCUGCAUGGCUGUCGUCAGCUCGUGUCGUGAGAUG